UACAGAGGGGGCAAGCGUUAUUCGGAAUUAUUGGGCGUAAAGGGCGCGUAGGCGGCAUGGCAAGUGGAUGGUGAAAUCCCUCGGCUUAACCGAGGAACUGCCGUCCAAACUGCUUCGCUUGAGACCGGGAGAGGUGAGUGGAAUUCCCAGUGCAGCGGUGAAAUGCGUAGAUAUUGGGAGGAACACCAGUGGCGAAGGCGGCUCACUGGACCGGUACUGACGCUGAAGCGCGAAAGCGUGGGGAGCAAACAGG
rnacentral:rRNA from 1 species